rnacentral:rRNA from 1 species
GACGAACCGUGCAAACGUUGCUCGGAAUUACUGGGCGUAAAGCGCAUGUAGGCGGCUCUGUAAGUCGGAUGUGAAAGCCCUCGGCUUAACCGGGGAAGUGCAUUCGAUACUGCAGAGCUAGAGUAUCGGAGAGGGUCGUGGAAUUCCUGGUGUAGAGGUGAAAUUCGUAGAUAUCAGGAGGAACACCGGCGGCGAAGGCGGCGACCUGGACGAAUACUGACGCUCAGAUGCGAAAGCGUGGGUAGCAAACAGG